rnacentral:rRNA from 1 species
CGUAGGUCCCGAGCGUUGUCCGGAUUAUUGGGCGUAAAGCGAGCGCAGGUGGUUAUUAAGUCUGGUGUAAAAGGCAGUCGGCUCAACCAUUGUAUGCAUUGGAAACUGGUAGACUUGAGUGCAGGAGAGGAGAGUGGAAUUCCAUGUAGUAGCGGUGAAAUGCGUAGAUAUAUGGAGGAACACCGGUGGCGAAAGCGGCUCUCUGGCCUGUAACUGACACUGAGGCUCGAAAGCGUGGGGAGCAAACAGGAUU